rnacentral:rRNA from 1 species
GCAAGUCGAGGGGUAACAUCGGUGCUUGCAUCAGAUGACGACCGGCGAACGGGUGCGUAACGCGUAUAGAAUCUGCCUUGUACAGGAGGAUAGCCUUUAGAAAUGAAGAUUAAUACUCCAUAAUAUUUGGAAGUGGCAUCACUAUCUAAUUAAACAUUUAUGGGUACAAGAUGACUAUGCGUCCUAUUAGCUAGAUGGUAAGGUAACGGCUUACCAUGGCAACGAUAGGUAGGGGGUCUGAGAGGAUUAUC